CUGUUGCCCUUCAUUCCACCGGAGUCUGUUAACGCAAGGGCCACGCCAGAUUCCGGUCGGAUGAAGUCCACCAG
ensembl:miRNA pma-mir-205b pma-mir-205b